UACGAAGGGGGCUAGCGUUGCUCGGAAUUACUGGGCGUAAAGGGCGCGUAGGCGGCACUGUUAGUCAGGCGUGAAAUUCCUGGGCUCAACCUGGGAACUGCAUCCGAUACUGGAUGGCUUGAAUCCGGGAGAGGGAUGCAGAAUUCCAGGUGUAGCGGUGAAAUGCGUAGAUAUCUGGAGGAAUACCGGUGGCGAAGGCGGCAUCCUGGACCGGCAUUGACGCUGAUGAGCGAAAGCUAGGGGAGCAAACGGG
rnacentral:rRNA from 1 species